UACAGGGGGUGCAAGCGUUGUUCGGAAUUACUGGGCGUAAAGGGUUCGUAGGUGGCCACUUAAGUCAGACGUGAAAUCCCUCAGCUUAACUGGGGAACUGCGUCUGAUACUGAGUGGCUUGAGUGCAGGAGAGGAAUGCGGAAUUCCAGGUGUAGCGGUGAAAUGCGUAGAUAUCUGGAGGAACACCGGUGGCGAAGGCGGCAUUCUGGACUGUAACUGACACUGAGGAACGAAAGCCAGGGGAGCAAACGGG
rnacentral:rRNA from 1 species